CCCAAAAGAUUUCCUUCAAGUGGUAUCAGAGCCUAGGUCUAGUAGUUGGUGAAUCCUUUUGGGUUUUCUAGUUCAUAGUUUGUGAUUUAAAAGUUGUAAUUGUUACAAGCUUUAUUCUUGCUUAUUUGAAAGUAAAUUUUGUUGGAAAAUUUGCUAUCUCAAAUGUUGUAGAUGUUGUUCAUAUGAGCAUGAAUAUUGGAGCUAAAAUUUGGUGCCAUGCUUUUGGGAAAAUUCGGCCAAAUCCAAAGGGUGAAUUUUUGGGUUCUUGUUUGACUUGUUAAAAGUGUUUUAAUGUGUUCUUUGGAACCCCUAAGUACCCUAGUUUGGUUAGAUGUUAUUUCCCUUAAGUAAGAAUGGUUUUGGAAUGUUUUUGGGUGAAAAAAGUUCAUGGAAAAUUUGGGUUUUUCAUGAAUGUUCUUCAUUGUUCUUGAUGUUCUUGCCAAGAACAAAAAGGUUUGGUGUUUUGAUUCAAAGUUUUGAUUUAUUUCAUAAAGUUUAUGUGAUUUGUUUUUAAAUGAUUUAUCAUGUAUUUAAAGUGUUAGAUAUUUGUAUAAAUGAUGAUUGAAAUAAUUGUGAUUGAAUUAUUUCAAAACUUAUCUUACAUACACUUGAUUGUUUUUGACAAAACUCACAAAUCAACACACACAUCACUCUUAUCCUCUCCCCAAAACCGGCCACUCCCUCAAAGGGAGUACUUUUGGGGCUUUUAUGCAAUUACAUAAAGUUUUGAUACUUUUGUGUAUUUGCACUUUGGCCCAAAAGUUUACGUUUUUACGUUUAGGUCCAAAAACGCUAAAGGACAAAUUGUUUUGUUCCUUUAAUGAAGUUUUUGCAUUAUUAAAAGUUUGGGUUCUAGUUGUAUUUACAUGAAGUUGUGACUUUUGUGUAUUGUAUAAAGUGACCCCAAAAGUUUUUGUUAUUGCAAUAUGGCCCAAAAGUUGAGGUUAAUUGCAUGAUGGCCCAAAUAGGAUGAGAACAAAAUUGUUUUGUCUCUUUAAAUGAGAAUUAGAUUUUCAUUUUGUUUAGCUCCAUUUAAAUCAAUUUUAUGGAUACAAAAACCAAAUGAAAAUGUUGCAUUCAAUUAAUUAGUUAAAGUGUUAAUUAAUUAAAGGGUGAUUAUGAACCUAAGCCUAAUAUAAUUGAGCUAUGUGAAAGGCGUUUCAAAUUUGUUUGAACCAUGGGAAUGUGUAGAUUAGAUUUUGGUUGUAAUUUGAUUUGAUCAAAUGUUGUAAAAGGGCUUAAGCUCUUCUUUACUUUAAAGUAAUUUGUUAUAUGCAAAUGUUGUAAUGAGCAUAAGCUCACCUUUACUUUGAAGUACUUCUUUCUUGCUUUAUAUGAUAUGCAUGAAUAUGAAGUAGUUGGGUCCAACGCCCCUAAGACAACACGCCUUAAUGUGAUUAAACGCGUAACUAAAAUUAAUCACCAUCCCUAGACCGAGAUUCAACACAAGGCUCGUGUUGAAUCUAAACAAAGGUUCAUAAUCAUCCUUAGGCCCUAAGACAACUAUAUAUAGUCCAUCAAAUGAAUGCAAAGUUUAUGUUAGUAGUAUCAUAUACUCUUGCUUUAAAAAUCGUUUUAAAAGCAUAGUGGGAGUAUUAUGUACAACUAAAACAAUGAGAUGGACCAAUAGUUGUAAUAGGACCAAAAUUAUUUUAAUAGAGAUUAAAAUGAAUAUUUAUAUGUGAUGAGACCUAAAACCCUCAACCAAACCAAUAUUAAGUUGAUAAACGGAGAGUGCUUUGAACACUCUUUCGUGGCCUUCCACCGUGGUAGGCUCCGAUCGUUUGUGACUCGUACACCGGCUUCACCCUAUAAUGGGGGAGUACAAAGUGCGUGCUUACACUCAGGAGGAGUUCUAUAUACAUACAUGAUGAAGUGAGGUAGGCAACGAGUUUAGCCAACAUGAUAUAAUUCUGAGGCUAUGCUUGAACCCCUACACGAACUAGGCAUGGUGGGAAUGACUUAACUAAGUACAAUGACGCCAACAUGAUAUAAUUCUGAGGCAUCAUUUUCUAGAGGCCAAACUAGAUGGAUACUUGCAAGAGGUUGUUGCAAUGAGUAAGCGUACUCUCUCAUUAUUAUUAACGCUAGCCAACAUGAUAUAAUUCUGAGGUGGGCUUGGUAGUAGUGAGUCUCCCAUAACCUACUAAGAGUUUCAUCCAAAACUCUCGAAUUCCAAUGAGGGAUAUGGAAUUUGCCAAAAAUAGUGGGUGGUGCUAUUUGAUUUAAAGAUCCUGAAUCAAAUGGCUUAAAAUCAAUCAAUUUAUAUUCGUUAUGUAUUUGAUUACCAAUAUAUUUGCAAACGCUAUCCAACACUUGACAAAACCGAAUGUUUUAGUUUCCGGACUUGGUACCACAAUCCCAAAGAAUGUCUUAAAUGGAUUGUAUAUGUACCUAAGUAGUCUCAUCCUCAAAAUCGUUCUAUUGAUAAUGUAUCAUUAGAAGAAUAUGUUAGAAAAGGUCUAUCAU
rnacentral:lncRNA from 1 species